rnacentral:rRNA from 1 species
GGAGGGGGCUAGCGUUAUUCGGAAUUAUUGGGCGUAAAGGGCGCGUAGGCGGCCCGGUAAGUCAAAGGUGAAAUCCCUCGGCUCAACUGAGGAACUGCCUUUGAAACUGUCGGGCUUGAGGCCGGGAGGGGGUAGCGGAAUUCCCAGUGUAGCGGUGAAAUGCGUAGAUAUUGGGAGGAACACCGGUGGCGAAGGCGGCUACCUGGACCGGUUCUGACGCUGAUGCGCGAAAGCGUGGGUAGCGAACAGGAUUAGAUACCCUGGUAGUCCACGCCGUAAACGUUGGGCACUAGGUGUGGGUCUCAACCAACGGGAUCCGUGCCGCAGCUAACGCAUUAAGUGCCCCGCCUGGGGAGUACGGCCGCAWKGCUA